GCCCCUGUAGCUCAGGGGAUAGAGCAGUGGCUUUCUAAUCCAACGGUCGGGGGUUCGAAUCCCUCCAGGGGCA
rnacentral:tRNA from 1 species